GAUGGUGAAGGCAGCAACCGCUGUCACAGCCGGUGGAUCCCUCCUUGUCCUUUCCGGCUUAACGCUCGCCGGAACAGUGAUCGCACUCACGGUAGCCACUCCUCUCCUCGUCAUCUUCAGCCCCGUCUUGGUUCCAGCAGUGAUCACCGUCGCUCUCAUCAUCACCGGAUUUCUUGCAUCUGGUGGCUUUGGAAUAGCCGCCAUUACCGCCUUCUCUUGGGUCUACAGGUAAUUUAUGAACACAAACAAAACGUGACCUACAGGUUUCAAACCUAGCUUGCAAUGCACGUUACAGUUUAUAUUAAGAGUUAGUUUGAAUAUUGGUGAAUAUAUAUAUUUAGGCACUUGACGGGAUCUGGAUCGGAGAAGAUAGAGAAUGCUCGGAUGAAGGUGGGGAGCAGAGUGCAGGAUACCAAGUAUGGGCAGCACAACAUUGGAGUCCAACACCAACAAGCUUCUUAAAAUUCAAAGGCUAAAAUCGAUUUCCCACAUUAAAUUGUCAUCCAUCGUUUGAUCUCUCUUCUCAUUGUUUUUCCUCAACGUUUGUGUUGUCAUAAUGUAUGAUAAUAACAUGCAAUGUAUGAUGUAAUCUUAAUUUCCUUCUUCUUUUCUUUGUUGUUGGUUUGCGAGUAAUGUUUUGAUCCUUCUAUUCUAUGUGAGCGGAAAUCUUCAUA
rnacentral:lncRNA from 1 species